UUUCUAGAUUGGUUGCACCCAUUUGCAGUUGGAUCAACACUUGGAGAGAAAUUGGGAGGCAACGUAGUAGUUUCACUUGAAGGAAAACCAUUAUCAAAUGACCAUCAAGUGCCAUCUGGAUCUUAAGGGGAUUUCAUUUCUCCAUCUCAGUCCAUUGGAAUAGCAUUAGGUGUUUUUUCAUUUUUGUUUUUUUUCCCUUUCCUCUGGGCCCUUCCAAUACAGUGAAUGAAGGAGAUAUCAUUCAUUUAAGCAGCCUGUCAGUGAUUGACAUUAGACUCUUCAAAAUGGUUACUUUUAUGUAGAAGGAAUAUCUUCCUGUCUUUAUUUUAGCCAAAACAACUGAUUAUAUGCCUCCUUUGCAGCAAGCACUACAAUGAAUGUGAUUGUCAAUGUGAAUAGUCUAGAAUACUGCAAAGGGUAAGCAGAUUGAAUGCCUUGAAAGUAUUACCCACUGGUCAGAUGGUGAACUUUUUUCAGUAUUAUUUAUAGUUGCACUUGAUUGUAGUUCUGUGAGGCCCUGGAGCUCUACACCUCACCUGCCUUGGCAAGCCUUCUUUUGUGACAUGGCAGCACGAAUAUAACACUAUGCAUUAAAAGCACUUUUUAAAAUGAGUUUAAUUCCCCCAAAGGAACGUCAAUUAAGUUUCACUAACUGUGUCAUCAAUUUAUCCUAGUACCUGAGUGUUCAUUCGUAUUACCUGCAUAUCUUCUUAAAAGAAAUAGCUGUUAUUAAUGCCUUUUUGUUUUCCAUUGAAUGUACACUACUGAAUAAGUGUAGGAGUUUUAUGUUUACCCUGUGAGUCUUGCAGCACUAAAGAUAUUUUGAAUAUCAGUCAUGAUGGCAAUUUCUGUAUAAAAGAGCCUUAAAUGGAACAUUGUUUUGAGAUCAAACUCCCCACCCUCACAAAAAUGGCCAGGUUGCAAUAAAAAUUGUGGCAUGUUAAAAAA
rnacentral:lncRNA from 1 species